UCAGAGAAGAGUAGGGGGUUAUGUAAAGCCUGUCUGUUGUUGCUGAUCUUUGUAGGAUAGUAUAAUUCUUAGAACAGGACUGUUGCCUGAACAGCAUUACUCUGAGAGCAGCUCAUAGAUAAGAUGAUUAAAAGCAAGCUGCACCAAGAUGACUUCAGUCCUUAAAAACUUUUUUUUAAAGAAAGGAAAUAAACCCUGAGCCAGCAGCAAUGUUUAUUUAGAUCUGAAUUCAUGAAUGUUAGCCAAAUGUUGGGUAUUAAUAUGCAUGAUCUAAGGUUAUGGCUGCUAUGGAAAUAAGAUUGUUACCUUUAGCUCCCUCCUCUGCAGGACAGAGAGGGAGAGGCACCGCCCAAGCCGGGUGUAUAUACAAAAGCAGACUCAAAUAAGGAUCCAUUGUACAACCCAGGAAAACACAACAAUGGGCUAUUAAAGUUAAUGGAAAGACCUAGAGAAAACUGAGGAUUUCCCCACUUUGAAUCUGUGUUUUUUCUAUGAAAUAAACCUUUUGUUUGUUUGUUUACUGCCAAGCCGGUAUCU